CUCUAGAGGAAAAGCUGGGCCGGAAAAGUGGGAACCUCUAGGGCGCCGCCCUGUUGCUACUGGUCAAUGUGGCCAGCACAAUUACUAUUGAAAGAGCUGAGAACAAGUACAGGUCACCUUAUGCUUUGUCACCUAAAAACGCAUACCUGAUGGCUUUAUGAAGGUGGUACGUUAAUAUUAAGUUUACAGAAAGCGAUCGCUAAGUCCGUGACUUAUGUAAAUCACGAUGUACGCAUUCAUGCAAUAAAGGAUGACGCGAAUUUCGGUUUCGAAUCUGUUUUUUGGAUGCGUAGUAGUUUCGUUUGACAUGCGAUCGCGCGUCGACAUCGGACGCUAUGACACACUCGUGCCUUAUGUGCCACCGAAGCCCCGAAGUGGUCUGGCAUAUACCUUCACAUGUUUCCCUUCAGUAGGAAAUUGCUGGACAGGCGGACCAGCGCACCGGAAUUGUACUGGCGAAGCCACAAGCAACUCAAAGAAUCUGUUUAAUUGUUGCACUUUGAACAAUCAUGCUUCUACAAAGGCCACAGCAGAAAAACAGCCUGAUGACCGAGUAUUUCUGUGCCACGAAGUAAUCAAGAGGCGAGUGCCUAAUGCGGACGAAAUAGAGUGCAUCGAGACUUAGAACGACAGAAAGCUGAGCUAGUUUGUAAGGAUUCAUUAUGCAAAACAGAGGUGAGGCGUGCAGACAGGACACAAGAGUAGAGAAGUGGGCGGCGCGCGUGUUGUUUGCUUGUAAAUACUCUACUCUUGUUUCCUGUCUGCACGCCUCACCUCCGUUUUGCAUAACGAGUGCAUCAAGCCACAUAUUAAUAGCUUAGGCGUUUUAUUAACUGUGCAAUAUUUUCAACACUUCCUUGCAUGCCAUUUCAUGUGGCAUAUCUUUUCUGGUCACAAAUUUGUGCAGCGAAUCUAUUUGCAUGAUCGACUCCGGGCCUGUGGGACCGUUCACUUGCACUUGAUGCUGAGUCUUUUACAUGUACCCAUAAACUGCAGAUAUGCACAUCAGAUCCCUGCGAGCACUUUCAAAAUUCAAUUAUUUUCGACAACAGGCACAUAUGCAAUACUGACAUAAUCCGGAAUACCACUAAGCAGCUGGGACACAUUUUUGUUGACCAUACUCGCAGGUAAAAUAAGUACAUCAUGUGGACAGCUCCAGCUCAUUUUCCUUAAGUCAGUGUGUACAAGGGUUAUGCAAAAAUAAUUUUUUUCUCGCGCACCGAUCAUUUUGCUUUAUAAGCAAGAGAACCCACCACGUUAGUGUAACGUAUCUUGUGCAUCACACUAAUAUGUGCUUUCAUUUACCAAGUGAGAUGAGUUACUUUUAUGGCUCAUUCAGUCAUAUCACACUGCAAGCUGCAUUCAUCAAUCUUCAAUGGGAUUUUGCAAAUGUUUAAUGAAACAUGUUUCCCUUUUAUGCAGAUAUGCAAUGGCAAGCCCUUCCGUCUGUUCCAAAGACAAUGCCUACGCCUAGCCACAGCAGCUCCCUCAUACAGACUCCGCAAACCAAGAGGCCGUGGAGGCAAAUGCAGGCAGCCAGCACACCUCGAACAGCCACCUUGACUGCGGGUGUGUCACCCUAGUCGCCAAGGAAACAUUUGAGGGAAAGUGACAGGCAAUGUGAACAGCCACUCCUCCAUGUAAACAAUACUCUUUCUCUCGGAUGACUCCUACGCCUCACCACGCCAGCACACUUGUGCACAAAGAUGCCGCAGAGGCACGUGCAGGUCAGAGGCAAGAAGCAGUGGCACUGGUGUCGACAUUUACCCAAUUUCUUUUUCUUACACUGAGGCAGCCAGCACACCUCCAACAGCCACCUCGACUGCGGGUGUGUUAGUUGAUCCCUGUUGUACAUAUGCUCAUAAUAAACUUCAGUAAACUUGAACUUCAUAAUAAACUUGAAGGCAAAUGGUACAUUGAUGCAUUGUAUUUUUGAACAUUUAUUGUACACAUACAAUAUAUGUUAUACUAUGCAAUGCUACAGAGCGUAUUUUGAAGCUUCCCCCUAUAUUUUGCACCUUUAAUUACGUAUGUGUUGUGUGGCCCUCAAUGCAGUUCAUGUUGUAGCAGCUGCUUUGUCUGUGUAUCGCACAUUGGCUUAAGCUCGUGAUAUCCACAUACUUCUCUCACAUAUACAAAAUAAAGUUCUAUGUAGUCCUCAGUGUUACAACAAAAAAUGAAAGUAAACAAUCCGAUCGUGGAAUUAUGUUUAUUACAGUGAUUCCUACGACAGUUACUGACAAGUUGACAACUUGAACUGGUCAAUCGGUCCAUAGCCUCCUCUAUUUUUCAAAAAUAAAGGAGGCUAUGAUCCGUCAUGGCAAGGAAUUGUAUGUAUACAUAAAAAAAAGGGGGUAUGUUUGUAUUUGUAGUGGGGGUAUAGGAUUAGGGCGGUACGAAAAAAUGUACCAACACCGUCCUCUAGACCUAUUCCGUUGAGGUACCGUAACAAAACGUAUUAUGCAUAAAGUUCAUACAACCAACUCUGAUAUUACUACAGACGCCAGGCGACGCGAGCUACAUUUGUCAUGAUGCAUUCGCGACUGCACCGGAUGCCCUCCACAUUAUUCUCGUUAAUCGUGCUCACUGCGCCGAGGCAAAAGAAAGACCAUGGGCGCAGGUGCCUUUAAAGUAUCUCGACCUUGCGAGGCACGGCUGCGCGUGCCAGGGGAGCUGUCCGUGCGAACACUCCCUGGCACACACCUGCCUCGGCGGCCCCAACCUACGUACCGUUCUGCUUCGAACUUUGAUCCCCCCACUGUCCCUCGGGUGCCCUGGAGUUCCUGCGCCGCCUGCUCUACUACCAUCUCAGGUGCUCUCCUGAGACUUCCGUUUGUCGGUUACAUGUGCCCUACAGCUGGAUCAUUACUUAUAAUAAUAAAAAACCCGAUCUAUCGUCACGACGAUAGAUCGCGAAAGCGGCUUUUGCAACAUACCGCGCCCGUGCGAAGAUAAUUACGGAACGCCAACGAGGAAUCUGACCACAGCUUCGAGCUCGUAACGUCGUCGAGUGACACUCCUGCAACAGGCGUGACCGCUGAAAACCGCAUACCGCCAGAAGCUUGAACAGGAUCAUCCCUCGGUUGCAUAACUGCCAGCUCUACGGCCAACAUGGACCACACCCACACCAUCCCCCAAAUAAAGAACCGACUUAUGAAGCCCAAACACACGGCUGCACGCACACAUCACAACACUUCAAGCGA